AAGCCUUAUUUACUUUGUAUCUCGAGCCCUGGCACUGUGCUUAGUCUAUAGUAGCCGCUUAAUAAACCUAUUUUUGUUCAAAUGACGUUUGUCACAAAGCAGUACAAUUCUCUUGGGGCCUAUUUUGCUCAUGUGCCCCUGCCUAAGUGUGGCAGAGCUAAAGAAAAUACCUUUUAGGUUAGAAGUCAAGCACUUAGAAUUUUUUCAUAGCAUCUUAUUUUGCUAAUAGUGGAGGGAAUUUUCCUUAUAGGAGUGAUAAUUUCUCAAAGCAGAACUGAAAAUAAAACAUUAAUUAAAAAAAUUUUUUUUGUGUGUGUGUGUGUUUUUUGGGCUGCAUUCACAGCAUUUGGAGAUUCCCAGGCUAGGAGCUGAAUUGGAGCUAUGGCCAGUAGCCUAUGCCAUAGGCACAGCAAAGACAGAUACAAGCCACAACUGCCACCUACACCACAACUCAUGGCAACACUAGAUCCUUAACCCACUGAGCGAGGCCAGGAUCAAACCUGCUUCCUUAUAGAUUUGUUUCCGCUGAGCCAUGAUGGGAGCUCCAAAACUUUUAUUUUUUGACUGAAGCUAUCUAAAUGAAAAUGGUGUUAUGCUAAACAAUAUGAUUUGCUUUCUAUAAUGGGAUACUUGAUAUAUAAUCAAUAUAAUAUGGGCAGUUAUUGCUUGUAUACAGCUAUACACAGAAAUAUUUUAUAUUGUAAACUUGAAAAGGAAGUCUAUCACUUUGUUAUUUAUAUAAGAUAGAAAUAGAUGGCAAGAUUUUUUUGUGGGCAAGUUAAAAAAAAAGACUCAGUUACCAUUUAUAGGAAAAACAUGUUAUAUAUGUGUGUGUGUGUAUAUGUAUAUAUAUAUAUAUGAGAAAUGCUGUUACCAUGUGUGAGAAAUAUAGAGUUUCACUCAAUACCUUAAAUGUAGGUCAUGUUCCAAAAAUUUGUAGUUUUAGGGUAAAUUUUUGCAGUCAGGGUGUAUUUCCUUCUAGAACAAUGUUAUGAAAUUUGUAGGGGGAGUUCCCGUCGUGACACAGCGGAAACAAAUCCGACUAAGAUCCAUGAGGAUGUAGGAUCAAUCCCUGGCCUUGCUCAGUGAGUUAAGGAUCCUGUGUUGCUGUGAGCUGUGGUGUAGGUCGCAGAUGUGGCUCGGAUCUGGUGUUGCUGUGGCUGUGGUAUAGGCCAGCAGAUAUAGCUGCAAUUCAAUCCCUAGCCUGGGCACCUCCAUAUGCUGCUAGCGCAGCCCUAAAAAAGCCAAGAAAAAUAAAUUUGUAGGUGAGCCCCCAAAAUCUUUUUUUUUUUUUUUUUACCUGUAAUAACUGAAAUAUCUCUACUAGGAGCCAUGAACCCCAGGACAUUUAGGACUCUUAAAGCCCAAGUAUAGAGACCUUCUGAGGUUAACCUCCCUGGAGGUUUCAAGGGCUGUAAACUGUGGGCAGUGAGACUGAGUUGCUCAGAUGUGGAGAGCCCCUGGUGACAUCUAAUUAGCAAUGAGAUAGGAAUGUGUCCUCAUCCAGAAGGGAAAGGGUGCCUGCAGGAGAAUAAGGGCUCUUUGAAUGUGGUUUUACAUUCACAGAGGACCUUGUAAAUUUAAACUUCUGGUCUUUCUUUCAAAUAUUUCUCUCAAAAGCUAGAUAUAAAUUCAUUGCUUUUGUCAUUGCAAUUGUGUGUUUCAGAAGCAUUACUAUGUGAAAUGUAGGCAUUUAAAAUAAACUACAUUUUAAAACUUAGUUGGCAUUUCUUUGCUUUUUAAUAAAGUAAAUUGAGAGCCUCAAAAAAUAGAAGGUCUUAAGUCUCUUUCAACCUUUGAGAAACUCUGAUUUUUUUUUUUUUUUUUUGGUCUCUUUUAGGGCCGUACCUGCAGCAUAUGGAGGUUCCCAGGCUAGGGGUCGAAUCGGAGCGGUAGCCACCGGCCUACGCCAGAGCCAGAGCAAUGCGGGAUCCGAGCCGCGUCUGCAACCUACAGCACAGCUCACGGCAACGCCGGAUCGUUAACCCACUGAGCAAGGGCAGGGACCGAACCCGCAACCUCGCGGUUCCUAGUCGGAUUCGUUACCCACUGCGCCACGACGGGAACUCCCUAGUUUCUGUAUUUUUACAUCUCUCAACUCCAGGGUUUAGUGCUCUCCCUCAGGGCCUGUCCAGGGCUUCACGCUAAAGCCCCCCAUGUUUUAUGACUCUCAUCUGACUUUUAUUUUUUUUUUUAAUUUUUAAUUUAAUUUUAUUUUUUAGGGCUACACCCGCGGCAUAUGAAGUCCCAGGCUAGGGGUCGAAUAGGAGGUGUAGCUGCUGGUCUACACCACAGCCACAGCAAUCUGGGAUUUGAGCUGUGUCUGACUUACACCACAGUUCAUGGCAAUGCUGAAUCCUUAACCCACUGAGCACGGCCAGGGAUUGAACUUGUGUCCUCAUGGAUACUAGUCACAUUCAUUUCCACUGAGCCGUGAUGGGAACUCCCUAAUCUCACUUUUUAAAUCUCUGAUUUUAUUCUAGGAAAAUUUUAUUCUAGUAGCUAAAUUGAUAUAUUUAAUGAGUUGUACUUUUUUUCCUAUGGGAUAGGCUCUAAACUGUGCCUUUCCCCCCAGAGAAUGUUUGAGUUACGGUAGGCCAAUCAGGAAGGAAGUUUUGAGCCACCUAUAAAAUCAGCUCUCCCCAUCUGCUUUGUCACCACAAAUGUUGGAAAAAGCAUCAAAGAUGUCUUCUGUGGAACCCCAAAUGUCUGAUCCUUGAUACUAAUGGUGAUGGAAUUAUCAGUCAAAAGCCUUCUCUUUUCAUCCUGGUUUCUCCCAAACAAACAAAACACACACACAAACAUAUAUGUCAAAAUACUUUCUACCUGAGCUUUAAGCAGCUGUCCUAUUAUUUAUACAUUGACAUUAUUAUAUUUAUGUGUAUACAAUCUACUUUUCAGAAAUAUUUUUGAAUUAGUUCUCCCCAAUGUCCAUGAAUUCAUCCAGAAAACAUUUCUUAAAUUUCUUAUGUGUACUAGGCCCUGUGAUAACAGCUACCUGUGGCUGAUCUGACUUUACCCAUGAGGAAUGUGCAGCAUGGAAAGGCUGGUAACAGUUAACUGAAUCCAUUUGCCAGAAGGCGGGUGCUUCGUUCACCAAGCUUCACUAAAAUUUGAUAUUUUGCUUUCGCAAGCUGGUUAGAAGCAUUGCAUUAAAAUCCUGCCAAACUUUGUCCCUUUUUAUCCAAAUGUUUUUAACUUGAAAAAGGAAUUUCAGUGUGUAAAACUUUCCAUUAUAAGGCCACCUGUAAAUUUAAAACAGUCAAAACUGUUUUUUCAGCUGCCUUCAGCUCUGUUUCUCAACUGACUUAUACUGACAGAUAAAGAUGGCUUUCCCCUGAGAAGGAUUGUUUUGUUUGUGGUUAUUCUGUCACUACCAGGAGGGACAGCUCCCCUGAUCCAUAGGGAAUGCAGAGAUGCAGUUUACAGACAGAAUCAUGCUGACUAGCAACUAAAAAAUCAUAGUCAAAUAAUGAUUUCAUUGUUCCUUCCUGUGUCCAUGACAACUGAGAGGUAUGCAGCUAGAUCAAGACAGUGCCUCGGAGUAGUGUGUUUUUUCUGCCUCAAAUACUACUAUUUUGAAAAAGUUUGUAAUUUUUUCUGACAAUCAGGCUAAGGAGAAAAAGGGACAUUUCCUAUAUCUUAAUAGUUUUGCUAUUUUUAUAUCCCUGUAGGUAAUUCUUCUGUGUUUGUGUUUAUUCUUCUGUGUAACACUCUUCACUUCUGUUCACUAGCAUUCUGACUUGCCCUUUAGUGCAAGCAGGCUAAGCACUUUAUGUGCAUUAUCUCAUUUAACUCCCAACAAAGAUAUGUUAUUUGUGUUUAUUUAAGUUUUGGGGAAAACUCUAGCAACAGAAUACAUGUUUUUAUAUCUCAUGCUGAAGCAACAGUCUUAGACAUCUAUUACAGUAUUAAACCCUUUCGAAAUGGGAAGGCUAAUAUCCAUGAUAAACUCAAUUGUAUAUUUAAAUAAGAAAGCCCGAGUUUCUUCCUGGUAAUCCAACCAAGACAUUAAUUAUUAAGUUUUCAACAUCUUAUAAAGUUAAAAUGAUGUAAUAAAACAUAUUUUCUGAAGGCAUUUCUUAGCCUACAGUUUUUUAACUGUACUUCCAAAGUGAAUUUGUCUGUAUUUUGACAUAUCACAUUAGUUUGGUAAAGAAAUUAUUUCAACUUUAAUCUUCAAAAGAAUUUAUUUUUUUAAGGGCCACACCUGCAGCAUAUGGAGAUUUCCAGGCUCAGAAUCGAAUUGGAACUGUAGUGGCUGUCCUACACCACAGCCACAGCAAAGCCAGAUCUCAGCUGUGUCUACGACCUACAUUACAGCUCACGGCAAUGCUGACUCCUUAACCCACUGAGUGAGACCAGGGAUCGAACCUGGAUCCUCAUGAAUACUAGUCAGAUUAAUUUCCGAUGAGCCACGAUGGGAACUCCCAAAAGAAUAUUUUUAAUAGAUACUUUUUCUUACAUUCAAUAUCUGUUUUUCUGUAUAUAUAAUUCUAACCUACAUAUAUUGUUGAGAGUCAUCAUAAUAAUUAUAUUUGCUUAACUACUGCUAGUUUGGGGGACAUUUUUAUUUAUAUGUUCUCAUUCACUUCUCAUAACACAUUAGUGGGGGCACAGGUCAAGAAUUAGUCUCAUUUAAUAGGUGGGAAAACUAAGACAGUUUAUUAGUAGGCUGUUUAGCUGAACCAGGGCAAAAAUUCUUGGUUUUUAGACAGAUGUUCCUUUCUUUAACUAAAUUCAUGCAUUUAGCAAGCAUUAUUAAGCUGUAGGUAUGUGUCUAAUGCAGCUCUAGGCAGCGGGCAUCCAAGAUGGGUAAGACACUCGUCUCGCCUCUAAGGAGUUCUAUAUGCAGCAUCAUGAAUGCAUUUUAAAGUUCUUUGCUUUUUGCUUCCAAGGCGGAAUACAUGACCUGAAAUUACCAUGGCUAAGGCACUCAGCUCUUCUGAGACAUAGGCAGGAAGAAGAAAAGAAUUUUGAUAGUUCUGAAAUCCAUAAUUACCACCUUCUACAGUUAAAUUUUGUGACAGCCUCUUAGACGCAAGAUCAGCCUAGACAAUGAUGUCCCUUGUGGCUGAAUUUUCUGGUGAUUUCUGCUACAUUAGCGAAUGCUGUAGUGUUUUUCUAAGAAUGUAUUAUUGUAGUGAUGCUUUAAUUUGCUUUUUUCCAGCUUUUCAACUGCUAACUUUCAUUUUAGUUUGGCCAGAAACUGUUUUGAAGUUUGAGCAUUUUGGUUUAAUGCUAAUUCAUCUCAAGUAUUUAGCCAUUUUUUGAAAUAAUCCUGUUGCUGAACUGAAAUACUCUGAUUUACUAGAUACAAAUUCUAGAGCAAGGUGUAAAGUUUGUUUUAAUUAAACUUUCUUUAAAAUGCAUCCUUUUUUUUUUUUUUUGCUAAUUGUAAAGACUUGAAGGGAAGUUAUUGCCUUUGCUGUCUUUUGUAAUUAGCCAUAUUCGUUUUAUUUUAAAGCAUAAAACACGAGUCACUUAAAUGGAUAGAGCUAUUUUACUCCUUGUUGAGGACUUAUAGUUGUCCUAAAGGAAGAAAAGUUCAGAAUGAAUAUUAUUAGUUUUUCAGUUACUGAGUGGAAACAUUUUAUAUCUUGAAAAUUUUCUUUGAAUAUUUUGCAAUUAACAAUAUAUAAAGAGAUAAAAGAAUAGUGUAUAAUAUUGAAAAGUUAAAAUAAGAGUAUUGUUAAGCAGCAAAUAAAUGAAAUAUACCUCUUACUCUUAUAUGAAACUUUUUUAGCUUAAUGUCAAUAAAGUUUAAAUUAGUUCAGACUUUUCUUAUUAGAAUAAAUGUUUCCUUUUAAAAUGCAUGAUAAUCAUAAUCAAGACAAAAUUUGUCCUGUUAUUUAUUUUCAAAAUGAUUGUACAUGUUUAGCAGACUUUUGAUUUAAAUCCCCAGUGAUAUAUUGGAGACAGAUGUUUGGAUGACCUCAUGUUUAAAGUAAUGUUAUAUUUGGACACAAGAUUAAAUUUUCCUUAAAAUCUUUCCUUAUAAGUUAAACUGUGUGGUAGUACACAAAAACUAAUCAAUGAUUUUCAGUGGAUUAAUGCAAUUCCUGUAUUUUAAAUGAAAUUUUGUAUCUUUUAUGGAAUUCCACGUAGUACAAAAGGGCUGAUUAUGAAACAGCUGUUUACAAAUGAAAAUAUUGUUUUUGGCUGGUCAGCUAAAUGGGAAACAGAUUUGAAAAGUUCCAUGAAUUUGAAUGUAAAUUUACCAUAUCAUUUAUACGGAACCAAAGAACAUUGGUAAAAGACUGCAACAUAGUUUACCAAAAAAAAAAAAAAAAA
rnacentral:lncRNA from 1 species